rnacentral:rRNA from 1 species
UGGGGAAUUUUGGACAAUGGGGGAAACCCUGAUCCAGCCAUGCCGCGUGAGUGAAGAAGGCCUUCGGGUUGUAAAGCUCUUUCAGCCGGAACGAAACGGUCACGGCUAAUACCUGUGACUACUGACGGUACCGGAAGAAGAAGCACCGGCUAACUACGUG